rnacentral:lncRNA from 1 species
UUAAUUCAGGGUUUUGGACCUUCUGAAUUCCGAGGAGGUCCCCAAGGAGGUCACAGAGGUCCACAUGGGGGUGGAAGAGUAAGUUAAUGCCUCAAUAAUGCAGAAUAUAAAUGCUAAAGGAAAAUGUCUGUAUGAUAAAUAUACUUUAAUCUAUUAAACAUUAAGCUAAUACAUUUUAUUAUUAUUAUUAAAUAUUUAAGCCUGGCGGGCCAUUUCGCCCUCCCUUCCGUCCUGAUGGAGGAAGACCAGUCCAGCCCAACAUCACAUUCACCCCUCUGUUCCGGAUUGACAAUGUGACAGCUCAGAACAUCAGUGCCAGUGUGCCCCUGAAACAGGGAGAGAAUGUUUUCAUCCUGCCACCUGUAAGUUUACUAUAUCAGCGUCGACCCCCUGUAGCUGGCCCUCAGCCCUACUUCAAGAUCAUCUACAACCAGAAUUCCACUAAGAUUGCAUUUGAAUUUGGGACGGCACAGUUUGUUCCCCCUCUUUCGGUAUUUGGCUCAGAGAGCGAUGAGUAUCGUCCGCAUUAAGCCUUAAGAGAUUAUCUGUCUACAAUAACACAGGUCAAUAAACGUCU